GGAUUCAUGGUGUAAUGGUUAGCACCCAAGGUUUUGAUCCUUGUAAUCCGAGUUCGAUUCUCGGUGGGUCCU
rnacentral:tRNA from 1 species